UGAAUUUUGUCCGGGAUUAAUUUCGUGUUUGAAAAAAAAAAAGAUUUUUUUUAUUUUAUUUUUUGCAUUUUAACCCCUGUAAUUUUAAAAUUUUACAUUUUGACCCCAAACUUUUCUAAAAUUUACAUUUUGACCCCAAAACUUUCUAAAAUUACAUUUCAACCCUUAUACUUUCUCAAAAUUUCACUUUGACCCCUAAACUCUCAAGAAAUUACAUUUUGGCCCAUAUUUUUGCUAAAAUUACACUUUUGCCCCAGAAGCUUUGCAUCCUAUGCAAUUUAGUCCUUCUGGACUUGUCUAAUCGCUGCAGCAGUGAGUGUACCCCUCCCGGCCGAGCUACUCCAGCAGCCCCCCUAGGCCAUCAUGGCUCCUCUGCCACCUGCAAACAAUGAGAAAGAGGACAAAAUUUGGAGCUUUUAAAAAGAAAAAAUUGAAGAGAAGGGGGGGAUUUUUCGGCAACCAAAGCAAAAAAAAUAGCAGAAAAUUCCAGCAGCAAAAAAUACUCCCAUGGGCCGAUCCCACGCUCACCGCCACCGUACCCACGCCACCACGAUCGCCGUGCAACAAUCAUCGUUACUCCUCGCCGAAGUCAAGCUAAGAAAUGUGCAAGCAUAAACAAAAGAAAGGAAAAUAGCAUCAAGCAAGCAAAAAAAAAAAGUAAAGUAGAAAGAAGUGAAGAAAGAAGAAGAAGAGAGGAGGGAAAGGAGAACGCCGGCGACCGUCCAACCACCGCACCCAGGAGACACCGACGGCGGUGAAAAAGAAGGGCCAAGGCUUUGAGACAAGAAGAAGAGAAGAAGAAAAAAAAGAAAAAAAAAAAGAGGAAGAAAAAGAGAGAAAAAAGAAAGAAAAAAAGAAAAUAAAAAGUAAUAAAAAAAUAAAAACAGCAGCCCAUUUUUGGUAAGCCACCAGCAGUCCACCACCAAUGGACUUGACCCAGUGCAGGCCCAAUACCCCAGCAGCUCCAGCGGGCCGUUUGCAGCAGUGAAGCGGGCCAACUGAGGCCCAAACCGAAAAAAAGGAAAAGGGCCUUUUUGGGUAAAUUUUUUUCUUUUUAAUCUAUUUUAUUUUAUUUAAUGUAUUUAAAUGGUGUUUUAUUUAAUUUAAAUUAGUAUGUUUAAAAAUAGUUUUCAUAAAUAUUAUUAUGUCAUUUUAAUUGCAUAUUUAAAAAAUAAUAAUAAUAAUAUUUUAAUGCAUAAGGCAACGAACCAAUUUAGCAUCGAGUCAUCGAAUUCAUCGCUAUGUUGGGUGGAUAUCGAUAGCUCGUGUUAAAUUCGGGACGCUCUUUUAAAAAUAAAAAUAUUCAAAAAUCCUCGUAUUUUAAUAAAAAUUCUCAUGUUUUAUUAGAAUCCCGAUUAAAUAUUAAAUUGAAUUGAGUUAACACUAAUUCGAUGGUUUCAUCGCCAUAACGAGGUGAAUGUCACCGAUUCAUGUUAAAUACGGUAUUUAAAGAAAUAAAAAAAUAAAAAACUUGUGUUUUAAAAAAAUUCGUGUUUUUAAAUUUCCAUGUUUUAAAAUUUUCGUGUUUUUAAAAAAAAUAAAAAAUAAAAAAUUUCGUGUUAUCAAAAAUUCCCG
rnacentral:lncRNA from 1 species